CCUACGGUGGGCAGCAGUGGGGGAUAUUGCACAAUGGGGGGAACCCUGAUGCAGCGACGCCGCGUGGGUGAAGCAGCGUUUCGGCGCGUAAAGCCCUAUCGGCAGGGAAGAAGAUGACGGUACCUAACCAAGAAGCCCCGGCUAACUACGUGCCAGCAGCCGCGGUAUUACGUAGGGGGCAAGCGUUCUCCGGCUUUACUGGGUGGAAAGGGGGCGCAAACGGCAAUGCAAGCCAGGUGUGAAAGCCCGUGGACCAACCCCGGGACUGCACUUGUAACUGGAUGGCGGGAGUACAGGAGGGGCAGGCGGAAGUCCGAGUGUAGCGGUGAAAUGCGUAGAUAUUAGGAGGAACACCGGUGGCGAAGGCGGCCUGCUGGACUGUGACUGACGUUGAGGCCCGAAGGCGUGGGGAGCAAACAGGAUUAGAUACCCUAGUAGUC
rnacentral:rRNA from 1 species